GUGGGGAAUCUUGCGCAAUGGGCGAAAGCCUGACGCAGCCAUGCCGCGUGAAUGAUGAAGGUCUUAGGAUUGUAAAAUUCUUUCACCGGGGACGAUAAUGACGGUACCCGGAGAAGAAGCCCCGGCUAACUUCGUGCCAGCAGCCGCGGUAAUACGAAGGGGGCUAGCGUUGCUCGGAAUUACUGGGCGUAAAGGGCGCGUAGGCGGACAGUUUAGUCAGAGGUGAAAGCCCAGGGCGAAACCUUGGAAUUGCCUUUGAUACUGGCUGUCUUGAGUACGGGAGAAGUGAGUGGAACUCCGAGUGUAGAGGUGAAAUUCGUAGAUAUUCGGAAGAACACCAGUGGCGAAGGCGACUCACUGGCCCGUUACUGACGCUGAGGCGCGAAAGCGUGGGGAGCAAACAGGAUUAGAUACCCUAGUAGUCC
rnacentral:rRNA from 1 species